GACGAACGCUGGCGGCGUGCCUAAUACAUGCAAGUGGGACGCAAGGAAACACACUGUGCUUGCACACCGUGUUUUCUUGAGUCGCGAACGGGUGAGUAACGCGUAGGUAACCUGCCUAUUAGCGGGGGAUAACUAUUGGAAACGAUAGCUAAUACCGCAUAAUAUUAAUUAUUGCAUGAUAAUUGAUUGAAAGAUGCAAGCGCAUCACUAGUAGAUGGACCUGCGUUGUAUUAGCUAGUUGGUAAGGUAAGAGCUUACCAAGGCGACGAUACAUAGCCGACCUGAGAGGGUGAUCGGCCACACUGGGACUGAGACACGGCCCAGACUUCUACGGGAGGCAGCAGUAGGGAAUCUUCGGCAAUGGACGAAAGUCUGACCGAGCAACGCCGCGUGAGUGAAGAAGGUUUUCGGAUCGUAAAGCUCUGUUGUAAGUCAAGAACGUGUGUGAGAGUGGAAAG
rnacentral:rRNA from 1 species